rnacentral:rRNA from 1 species
CCUACGGGCGGCAGCAGUGAGGAAUAUUGGUCAAUGGACGAGAGUCUGAACCAGCCAAGUAGCGUGAAGGAUGACUGCCCUAUGGGUUGUAAACUUCUUUUAUAUGGGAAUAAAAUGUUCCACGUCUGGGAUUUUGUGUCUCCCAUAUGAAUAAGGCUCGGCUAACUCCGGGCCAGCAGCCGCGGUAAUACUGAGGAUCCGAGCGUUAUCCGGAUUUAUUGGGUUUAAAGGGAGCGUAGGUGGGUUGUUAAGUCAGUUGUGAAAGUUGGCGGCUCAACCGUCAAAUUGCAGUUGAAACUGGCAGUCUUGAGUACAGUAGAGGUAGGCGGAAUUCGUGGUGUAGCGGUGAAAUGCUUAGAUAUCACGAAGAACACCGAUGGCGAAGGCAGCUCACUGGACUGCAACUGACACUGAGGCUCGAAAGUGUGGGUAUCAAACAGGAUUAGAUACCCGAGUAGUC